rnacentral:rRNA from 1 species
UUGGCCAUACCAUGCUGAAAACAUCGGUUUUCGUCCGAUCAAUGAAGUUAAGCAUCAUUGUGCGCGGUCAGUACUUGAGAGGGUGGCCUCCUGGGAACACCGCGUGCCGUU